rnacentral:rRNA from 1 species
UACGGAGGGAGCUAGCGUUGUUCGGAAUCACUAGGCGUAAAGCGCAGGUAGGAGGUUUGGUAAGUCUAUUGUGAAAGCUCCCGGCUUAACUGGGAGAGGUCAAUGGAAACUACCAGGCUAGAGUGCGGUAGAGGUAGCUGGAAUUCCCGGUGUAGCGGUGAAAUGCGUAGAUAUCGGGAGGAAUACCUAUGGCGAAAGCAGGCUACUGGACCGUCACUGACUCUGAUCUGCGAAAGCUAGGGGAGCAAACAGG